GAUGAACGCUGGCGGCGUGCUUAACACAUGCAAGUCGAACGAUGAAGCCCAGCUUGCUGGGUGGAUUAGUGGCGAACGGGUGAGUAACACGUGAGCAACCUGCCCCUGACUCUGGGAUAAGCGCUGGAAACGGCGUCUAAUACUGGAUAUGUCCCGUCACCGCAUGGUGUGCGGGUGGAAAGAUUUUUCGGUUGGGGAUGGGCUCGCGGCCUAUCAGCUUGUUGGUGAGGUAAUGGCUCACCAAGGCGUCGACGGGUAGCCGGCCUGAGAGGGUGACCGGCCACACUGGGACUGCGACACGGCCCAGACUCCUACGGGAGGCAGCAGUGGGGAAUAUUGCACAAUGGGCGGAAGCCUGAUGCAGCAACGCCGCGUGAGGGAUGACGGCCUUCGGGUUGUAAACCUCUUUUAGCAGGGAAGAAGCGAAAGUGACGGUACCUGCAGAAAAAGCACCGGCUAACUACGUG
rnacentral:rRNA from 1 species